UGGGUCAUCGUAAAUUCCCCUUUUUCUAUUUUUAGAUACUAUAUAUAACUAUAGUUGUCCGGUCACUUUUUCGCGGGGAUCGUUUAUCUCGUGCUUGAACUCAAUGUCCAGACUUGGAUAUUUAAACCUCGUCAGGGCAGUAUUUCUUUAGAUUGGGGAAAACUUUCGUACUGGUAAGUUGUACUUUAAAAUUUCAUUUUAUUUUGUAUUUUGAUGUUUGACUUAAAUAUUUAUUUCUUCUCAUUUGAUAUAUUUCUUUUCGGUCUUGUAGUCA
rnacentral:lncRNA from 1 species